rnacentral:rRNA from 1 species
GACGAACGCUGGCGGCGUGCUUAACACAUGCAAGUCGAGCGAGGCCCCUCCUUCGGGAGGGUGUCCUAGCGGCGAACGGGUGAGUAACACGUGGGCAACCUGCCCUCAGCUCUGGGAUAACUCCGGGAAACCGGGGCUAAUACCGGAUACGACCUCCACGGGCAUCUGCGGAGGUGGAAAGUUUUUCGGCUGAGGAUGGGCCCGCGGCCUAUCAGCUAGUUGGUGGGGUAGUGGCCCACCAAGGCGACGACGGGUAGCCGGCCUGAGAGGGCGACCGGCCACACUGGGACUGAGACACGGCCCAGACUCCUACGGGAGGCAGCAGUGGGGAAUAUUGCGCAAUGGGCGAAAGCCUGACGCAGCGACGCCGCGUGAGGGACGAAGGCCUUCGGGUUGUAAACCUCUUUCAGCAGGGACGAAGCGAAAGUGACGGUACCUGCAGAAGAAGCACCGGCCAACUACGUA